UAGAUAGGUGAGAGCAAACACACAGGGAAAACACAAUACUGUGUUGCCAUUUACCAACGUUGAAAGUGGUAGUAUUGUGUUUUCCCUGUGUGUUUGCUCUCACCUAUCUA